GACGAACGCUGGCGGCGUGCCUAAUACAUGCAAGUAGAACGCUGAAGAGAGGAGCUUACUCUUCUUGGAUGAGUUGCGAACGGGUGAGUAACGCGUAGGUAACCUGCCUUGUAGCGGGGGAUAACUAUUGGAAACGAUAGCUAAUACCGCAUAACAAUGGAUGACACAUGUCAUUUAUUUGAAAGGGGCAAUUGCUCCACUACAAGAUGGACCUGCGUUGUAUUAGCUAGUAGGUGAGGUAAUGGCUCACCUAGGCGACGAUACAUAGCCGACCUGAGAGGGUGCUCGGCCACACUGAGACGGAAACAGGGCCCAGCCCCCUGCGGGAGGCGGCAGUGGGAACUCUUCGGCAGUGGGGGCAACCCUGACCGAGAACCGCGGCGUGAGGGAAGAAGGUUUUGGGAUCGUAAAGCUCUGUUGAAGGUAAAGAGCGGGUGGGGGGGGGAAAAGUCCCCACUGGGAGGGUAGCUUACAAGAAAGGGACGGCUAACUCCGUC
rnacentral:rRNA from 1 species